rnacentral:lncRNA from 1 species
AUGAAUGCCAGGACUGAGAGAUCAUCCUCCUUCAGAGUCUGUCUGCCACAUCAAGGUAGUCUGAGCACAACGGGAAAGAGUGCAGUUGAAGUUCGAAAAAAUUUAGCAUCAGCUCGUGAAGGAUCUCACCCUCCUGCACAGGCCAGAGUACAGUUUUGUGAUCGUGGCUCACUGCAGCCUCAGCCUCCUAUGCUCAAGGAAUCCUCCCACCUCAGCCUCCCAGGCAGCUGGAACCACAGGUGCGCAUCACCACACCAAGCUAACUUAGUAUUUUUUGUAGAAUUGGAGUCUUGCCAUAUGGCCCAGGCUAGUCUCAAACACCUGAGCUCAAGUGAUCUGCCUACCUCAGCCCCCUAAAGUGAUGGUAUUACAGGCGCGAGCCACCGCAUCUGGUAAGAAUGCACAUUUUAAAAAAUGCCAUGGAGGUUUUCUGAUUUUUCUUUUAGGCUCUGAUUUCUGCAUUCAGAUUUCAGUGUUUCCUUUUAUUUCUAAGGCUAUUAGAAGAAACAAACUGAUAACAAAGUCUCAUAAAACCUGUUUUAAUGUAGUUGCUACAUACUGGUACUUUUUGUCUAUCAAGGCCCUGCCUUCAAUCUGGAUUGCAGCACAUAACAGCAUAGACAGUACGUUUUAGGAACCUUGAUAUUACAAAUGACACAGAUUACUGGCAUUUUACUGACAGCUAGCAAGGAGGUUUUUCUAUGUUAAUCACAAAUUUGUAGAUUCCAUUUUAAAGAGCUUUUUUAAGGUCAAUUCUUGCAUUACCAUGAUUCCUUCAGAAAAGAAGCACACACUCAAAUUGAGAAUGUAAAGAGUUUAAGAAAGAGAUAAUUCUUUGGGAAGCUGAGGCGGGUGGAUCACGAGGUCAAGAGAUUGAGACCAUCCUGGUCAACAUGGUGAAACCCUGUCUCUACUAAAAAUAUAAAAAUUAGCUGGGCGUGGUGGUGUGCGCCUGUAGUCCCAGCUACUCAGGAGGCUGAGGCAGGAGAAUUGCUUGAACCCGGGAAGCAGAGGUUGCAGUGAGCCGAGAUUGUGCCACUGCACUCCAGCCUGGGGCCUGGUGACAGAGUCUCACUCUGUCUCAAAAAAAAAAAAAAAAGAAAGAAAGAAAGAAAGAGAUAAUUUACAUAGCUGUGGAAAUCUUUAAGGAUUACCCCCAAAAAAUUUUUCAGAAAAAUAGUGUUAAUAUCAGAGAGGAAGUAUUAGCACCCCUAGGCCUAAAGUAGUUCUCAAAAGAAAGGAUUCUGCCCCCAUGAGACAUGGAGCUCACAGACAGUUUUCAAUGUGCAGCUGGUGGGGAGGUUACUAUUGGAGUAGAAUCUGCAAUGGCCAACCAUGCCGCUAAACAUCCUACAACCCAUCAAACAGCUUCUCCCAGAGCAAAGAAUCACCUGUUCAAAAAUGUCAAUAACAUCAGUUUUGAGAUUCUCUGGUCUUGGAAGGUAAAAGUUAGGGAAGCCUGAUUUAAAAAUUUGAAAAGAAGAGCUACAGCAAAGAAUGCCUGAAAUCAUGCAAUUUUUUCAAGAUUAACUGGCAGAACAACAGUGAAGGGAAUAAAAUCCUGAUAAAAAAAUUUUCCCUGUUUUUCCAUUCCUUGCCUGUGCCUCCAGUUGGGAGAACCCAGUUGGAUAUUGUAUAACAAGGAAGCUGUGUUGACAUUGUUGAUAGAGGUCAGCCUCGUGAGGACGAGAAUAACGAAGUCAGGUAGAGGGUGAAUCUGGAAUGGCAAAAUGGAGAUCUGCUUUAUUCAUAAGGCUUUGGAAUACACAUAUCUAUCCAGGAAAGAAAUGUAAAUAGAGAAAAAUAGAUGCUGGGAUAAAAUUUUUGAGGAAUAAUAUAUAAGUGGAAAGUAAACUGAACUUUACACAAUAUCAAAUAGUAAAGCAAAGAUAUGCAAGGAAAUCCAAAAUACUUUCUCUAAUGGGAAAACCACAAAUCUAGGUGCAUAGUCCAAAUGCAAGACAACGUUUCAUUUUUCAUUCGUUUGGGGGUGUUUCUUAAAUUUGGCUGUGUGUAUACCCUACCCAACACCUUUUUCAUUCAUUUGGGGGGGGGUUCUUUUUAUUUUAUUUUAUUUUAUUUUUUUGAGAUGGAGUUUCGCUCUUGUUACCCAGGCUAGAGUGCAAUGGCGCGAUCUCGGCUCACCGCAACCUCCGCCUCCUUGGUUCAGGCAAUUCUCCUGCCUCAGCCUCCAGAGUAGCCAGGAUUACAGGUACGCGCCACCACGCCCAGCUAAUUUUUUGUAUUUUUAGUAGAGACGGGGUUUCACCAUGUUGACCAGGAUGGUCUG